rnacentral:lncRNA from 1 species
CGGGAAGAGGAAGUUGGGAGGGUUACUGUAAACAAGGAGGCCAUUGGAGGAGACUUGGAGCUCCAAGUGUAGUGGCUUUUCAUUGGCUGAGCUUCUUGCUGGCUAAGAAGAGGAAGUAUUUCUUCUUCUGGUUGGACUGCGCUGUCAAUGACAACGUAGGGCGUGAGAGCUGCCCCUUUUGGCCUCCUGACUCCAUGUUAAUGAGGUGCAGCAGGGAAAGCCUGACCCCUCACCCUGCCCCUGCAGUGACCUCAACCUCACCCAUGUGGACCACCCUCUAGGCUGCCCCCGACGCAGGCCCAUGAUCACCUCUCCAGGUUGACUGCUGACUAGCAGGAGAAGAUGAACCUGAAAUUGAAUGGUUAUUGCAGUCCAGUUUUUUCAGUCCAAAGUGGCUGUCUUUGUACGAGAAGGCUAGCAUCCAUUCUCAGCUAACCGGAAGCUGAUAUGCUGGACGUGGCCAGGCUUGAAUGCUCUGCGCACAUGCCUCCUGAAGAGAAUGAAAUGUACGCUGGACGUUCCCCAGAUGAGAUUGCCGUCCGUGUCCAGCACCAGGCAAAUUCUCCUCAUUCCUUUCACUUAGUCCUGGCCUCACGAUCCAGCAUUUUUAUAGGAGUUUUAAGGUUUUAUGUUUCUAUUAAAAUUUUCCUUAUUGGUAUAAUCCUACCCAGCAUAUUCUUUCUCUUUUCAACCUGGUGUUAGGGCUGUGAUUAUGAAAACAAUAAGACACCAAAUAGUAAAUCAACAUUUG